CCCACCACGCCCUCCCGGCCGGAGGCCUGGUAGAGGACAAGGAUGACCAGUCUUCGCUGACACUCACGUCUCCGCACUGCUGGCUGUCCGCGGCCAGGCCGCUGGUGGCCGUCUUGGUAGCGGCGACGUUGGCAGCCUUGGAGCAGGCGCUGAGAUAUUGUCAUGUUUCCCUCAAAGCAGUUAUACUAAUUCAUCCUACCACAAACAGAGAUUUGGUAAGCCAUGUGGAUGAAAGGCUCUUGGUGCUCCAGCCAGGCAUCAGGGCUGUGCCUCUGAGGUGGGAGAGCCAACUUCAGGACACUGGUCCACAAGAGACCUCCCAGCUCCAGGUAAUACCAAAUGGCAAAAAUCUCUCAGAGAUCUCCAUCUCAACAUCAAGACCCAGCUUCACUCAAUGACCAGCAAGCUACAGUGCUGGACACCCUAUGCCAAACAACUAGCAAGACAGGAACACAGCCCCA